CCUACGGGAGGCAGCAGUGGGGAAUAUUGGGCAAUGGAGGAAACUCUGACCCAGCGACGCCGCGUGCGGGAUGAAGGCCUUCGGGUUGUAAACCGCUUUCAGCAGGGAAUAAGCGCAAGUGAAGGUACCUGCAGAAGAAGCACCGGCUAACUAUGUGCCAGCAGCCGCGGUAAUACAUAGGGUGCAAGCGUUGUCCGGAAUUAUUGGGCGUAAAGAGCUCGUAGGUGGUUUGUUACGUCGGUUGUGAAAUUCAGGGGCUCAACCCCUGACUUGCUGCCGAUACGGGCAAGCUAGAGUUUGGUAGGGGAGACUGGAAUUCCUGGUGUAGCGGUGGAAUGCGCAGAUAUCAGGAGGAACACCGAUGGCGAAGGCAGGUCUCUGGGCCAAUACUGACACUGAGGAGCGAAAGCGUGGGGAGCGAACAGGAUUAGAUACCCUGGUAGUCCACGCCGUAAACGGUGGGCGCUAGUUGUGCGAACCUUCCACGGUUUGUGCGACGCNGCUACGACAUAGCGCCCGCCGUCGGGAGGUACGANCGCAGAUAAACUACAANAGAGUAGACGGCGUGAGACGUGCCGACGGACGACGACGAGGGAGGUUAGG
rnacentral:rRNA from 1 species